UGGCUCAGGACGAACGCUGGCGGCGUGCUUAACACAUGCAAGUCGAACGGGGAUUAGUGAUAGAGAGCUUCGGCAGGAAAUUAAUAAUUCGAGUGGCGGACGGGUGAGUAACGCGUGAGCAACCUGUCCCAGACAGGGGGAUAACACUUGGAAACAGGUGCUAAUACCGCAUAAGACCACGGGAUCACAUGGUUCCGGGGUAAAAGGAGCAAUCCGGUUUGGGGUGGGCUCGCGUCCGAUUAGCCAGUUGGCGGGGUAACGGCCCACCAAAGCGACGAUCGGUAGCCGACCUGAGAGGGUGAACGGCCACAUUGGGACUGAGACACGGCCCAAACUCCUACGGGAGGCAGCAGUGGGGAAUAUUGCACAAUGGGGGAAACCCUGAUGCAGCCGACGCCGCGUGAGUGAAGAAGUAUUUCGGUAUGUAAAGCUCUAUCAGCAGGGAAGAGAAUGACGGUACCUGACUAAGAAGCCCCGGCUAACUACGUGCCAGCCGCUGC
rnacentral:rRNA from 1 species